AUCAAAAUGCUCUCUUGAUUUUCAAAGUUUAUCAUGCUAGAUUUUUGGUUUGAAAGGAAAGGAAAUCCCUUUAAUCAAAUUCCUGUUCAGCCAUUGAACAGAAUGGCUGCCGUUGUUUCUCCCUUUUUCUCAAUUUGAGUAGAUGUUCUGUUCAACUUUCUAUAGCUAUUCCAAUGGCUCUUGGUUGUCAUAAUUUGAUUAGGCCUGUGGUUCUUCUAUUUAUGGAUAUUUUAAAGUGUGUUCUUUCUAGUUGAGUUUACAUGUUUUAUGUUUGAACUGAGUUAUUACUACCUUUGUCAUACUUAUUCUUAAGAUUUUUUUUAUAUAUUAUUUGUCUGUGCAGAUUGGAGGUUUUGAGCUUGAGGUAGUUAAAAGGGUUCACUUGUCUCCAAUGAAGUGUUUGCACUGAAAUGAAGCUUCAAGUCAAAGUUGCCCUCGCUUUUCUAAUUGGAUUGAUCUUGAUUCAGCAAUGUCUCUGCGAUGAACUUUCCAAUACAUCAGGCGUAAGCAACUGGACAUGUACAUGUUCUUUCUCGUCCCAAGGAAACCAAAGCUAUGUUCCAAAGUCUAACUGUUCUACAUCUUGUGAUUGCACUAAAGUUGGAGAAUCCAAUGGAGAUAGGUGGACAUGCAUAUGCCCUGCAGAUGGAUUCCCUAAAGUAGCAGCUGAUGGUCAUGACACCACAUGUUUUACUGCCUGCAAUUGCACUGCUGGAUCUUUCAGUGCAGCACAAGUUUCAAGAAACCACAUUUCAACCAAAGUUGUUGUGAUCAUUCUCCUACUCUCUGUCAUACUCACAACACUCACAUUUCUUGCUUCAGUAAUGUGUUACAUUUAUCGAAGGGACAGGGGCAAGUGCACUGUUCAAACACCAGCAUUCUUGUCAGACAAAGAAACAAGUUGCAAUAGCGCUACUAACUUAAUUAACCAUAAGAUUUUGCUGCCAGAAGCAAACAUUAAGAUUGCCUCUUCUCUUAAUUCUUUGACUGGGUGCUUUCAAAAGGCUUCUUCCUUUUGCAAUAGCAAAGCAGAGAUAAUACAUGGAACUCUUAUCCGAUUUUCAUACUCUGAAUUAGAAAAUGCAACAAAGAGAUUCUCCAAUUCCAACUUAAUAGGACUUGGGGGAAGCAGUGUUGUAUACUGCGGUCAGCUUAAAGAUGGCAGAACAGUUGCUGUAAAGCGACUGAAACUCCAGGGAGGGCCUGAUGGAGAUGCCAUUUUUUCAACAGAGGUUGAACUAUUGUCAAGACUCCAUCAUUUCCACGUGGUGCCUUUGAUUGGCUACUGUUCAGAAUUCCGAGGGAAACAAGCUGAGAGGCUACUGGUAUUCGAAUACAUGCUUAAUGGUAAUUUGAGGGACUGUCUGGACGGGGUUUCAGGAGAAAACAUGAUGUGGAGCACUCGCGUUGCUAUUGCAAUAGGAGCUGCUCGAGGCUUAGAAUAUCUUCAUGAAGCUGCUGCUCCAAGAAUUUUGCACAGGGAUGUAAAAUCUACAAAUAUCCUUCUGGAUGAAAAUUGGAGAGCUAAAAUAACUGAUCUUGGUAUGGCUAAAAGUUUAAGACCUGAUGGCCUUCCUAGCUGCUCAAGUUCUCCGGCACGAAUGCAGGGUACUUUCGGCUACUUUGCCCCAGAAUAUGCAAUUGUUGGAAGAGCAUCACUAAUGUCAGAUGUUUUCAGUUUCGGUGUAGUUCUUCUUGAGCUUAUCACCGGUAGGCAGCCUAUCCAGAAAUCAACUGAUAAAGGAGAAGAAAGCCUCGUUAUAUGGGCAACUCCACGUUUACAAGAUAGCAGGCGAGUUAUAGCAGAAUUGCCUGAUCCACGUCUAAAAGGACAUUUCCCGGAAGAAGAGAUGCAAAUAAUGGCUUACCUCGCAAAGGAAUGCUUGCUGAUGGAUCCCGAUGCUCGACCAACCAUGAGCGAGGUUGUGCAAAUCCUCUUAACAAUUGCACAUGAUAAAUCUCGAAGGAGACACAUUCCUGUUAAUCUUUUCCGGACCUCAUCUGUCCACAAGGCGAAGAAUGAGUCAUUUGAAGCAAAAGCUGUCAAUCUAUCUGAGGCUGCUUCCAUUUCAGCAGAGCAGUUGCCACGAGCCACAUCUAUUAAACAGUCAUCACGUAAUUCAUUGCCAUUACACCUCGAACGUGCUCUCUGUGCUGGAUCAAAUGGUAAAGAAGCUAAUGCCAGUUCGUCUGAUUAUAUGGAACGGCUGAUACUAUUGACUUCACAAGCCAGAAGUUGGCGUGCUCAGGAUGACGAAAUAGUGGACUUAACGGAGCCUCGACUUGAAUCAUUCUGCAUUGCAAAUAUUAAAUCACCCUGAUCUAAAGAAGACAAAGAACAAAGCAGAAGAAACACCAAGUAUUACAUCACACAUAUUUUGGUGUAAAAAUUUGUUUCGGUCUCCUUUUUACUGCUGUAGAUUGGAGGAUUGUAGAGUAAGCAAGCUAGUUCGUGAAGCCAUAACCGGUUGAUUGUUUCUUUUUCCCGAUUGGAAGAUGUAUCAUACCACAGAUCAUAAAUGGAUCCUCCUCCUCCACCAACCGUGCCUUUGCUCCCUCCAACGACCCCGACCGGAGGAAUGUUAGAUCACUGCUUCAGGUUUUUGUGUUGCUGUGGUUUGUUCAGAAGCUGCUUUCCUCCACUCUUUGAGCCAGGACCUCCUUUAUAGAAGUUGGUUUAAUCUUGAUUAACAAGAAGAUUGGUGGAUUAAUGUAUCAAUUAUUCA